AUUCAUCAAUAACCACCUGAAGAACGGUAGAGGCAAGAGACCAUGGAAGUACUGGAUUGGCCUGGAUGACAUGAACACGGAGGGUGAGUUCAUGUGGAACGACAGGACCCCGCUGGGAAGCUAUCGUAACUUCCGGUCCGACAGUGCUCACGUGGACAUGGACUGUGUGGUACUGCGGAGGACUCGGCGCGAGUCGCAUUGGGACCCCAUGGACUGCGGUGUGAGGCGGCCCUACAUCUGCCAGUUCGAUUACAAUGUGAACCAGUAAGAUGAUGAUGCACGUGACGUCAGCAGAACAGCCUUAUGACGUCAGGACAACAUUAUAGCAGCACCAGAAUGUUGUCAAAGUUAUACAAGUAAUGAAAGAGCCUUGCCUUGAACAUUAUAGCAUAUAUCAUAUCAUAUCAUAUCAUAUAUCAUAUAUAUUCUUUUGAUUAGAUACUACAAAACAAUAUAAUACUGAUCUGCUACUUGCUACAUAUAGUAUUAGUGCUUUGUAAGAUUUCUUUGAUUCCAAAGUUAAUGCAUGCUAAUUGUAAUUAACAC